rnacentral:rRNA from 1 species
GAUGAACGCUGGCGGCGUGCCUAAUACAUGCAAGUCGAGCGAACAGACGAGGAGCUUGCUCCUCUGAUGUUAGCGGCGGACGGGUGAGUAACACGUGGAUAACCUACCUACAAGACUGGGAUAACUUCGGGAAACCGGAGCUAAUACCGGAUAACAUGUUGAACCGCAUGGUUCAACAGUGAAAGACGGUCUUGCUGUCACUUAUAGAUGGAUCCGCGCCGCAUUAGCUAGUUGGUAAGGUAACGGCUUACCAAGGCAACGAUGCGUAGCCGACCUGAGAGGGUGAUCGGCCACCCUGGAACUGGGAAACGGUCCAGACUACUACGGGAGGCAGCAGUAGGGAAUCUUCCGCAAUGGGCGAAAGCCUGACGGAGCAACGCCGAGUGAGUGAAGAAGGUAUUCGGAUCGUAAAACUCUGUUAUUAGGGAAGAACAAAUGUGUAAGUAACUAUGCACGUCUUGACGGUACCUAAUCAGAAAGCCACGGCUAACUACGUG